rnacentral:rRNA from 1 species
AGUGAACGCUGGCGGUAGGCCUAACACAUGCAAGUCGAACGGCAGCACAGUAAGAGCUUGCUCUUACGGGUGGCGAGUGGCGGACGGGUGAGGAAUACAUCGGAAUCUACUUUUUCGUGGGGGAUAACGUAGGGAAACUUACGCUAAUACCGCAUACGACCUACGGGUGAAAGCAGGGGAUCUUCGGACCUUGCGCGAUUGAAUGAGCCGAUGUCGGAUUAGCUAGUUGGCGGAGUAAAGGCCCACCAAGGCGACGAUCCGUAGCUGGUCUGAGAGGAUGGUCAGCCACACUGGAACUGAGACACGGUCCAGACUCCUACGGGAGGCAGCAGUGGGGAAUAUUGGACAAUGGGCGCAAGCCUGAUCCAGCCAUACCGCGUGGGUGAAGAAGGCCUUCGGGUUGUAAAGCCCUUUUGUUGGGAAAGAAAAGCAGCAGGUUAAUACCCCGCUGUUCUGACGGUACCCAAAGAAUAAGCACCGGCUAACUUCGU